rnacentral:rRNA from 1 species
CAGUCGCCGCGGGAAUACGGAGGGGGCUAGCGUUGUUCGGAAUUACUGGGCGUGAAGCGCGCGUAGGCGGUUACUCAAGUCAGAGGUGAAAGCCCGGGGCUCAACCCCGGAACUGCCUUUGAAACUAGGUGACUAGAAUCUUGGAGAGGUCAGUGGAAUUCGGAGUGUAGAGGUGAAAUUCGUAGAUAUUCGGAAGAACACCAGUGGCGAAGGCGACUGACUGGACAAGUAUUGACGCUGAGGUGCGAAAGCGUGGGGAGCAAACAGGAUUAGAUACCCCCGUAGUCCCUGUCUCUUAUAC